rnacentral:rRNA from 1 species
UAGUCAUAUGCUUGUCUCAAAGAUUAAGCCAUGCAUGUCUAAGUAUAAACAAGUUUAUACUGUGAAACUGCGCACAGCUCAUUAUAUCAGCAAUAAUUUAUUUGAUGGUUACUUACUACAUGGAUACCCGUAGUAAUUCUAGAGCUAAUACAUGCAUUAAAGUCCCGACUCCUUUCGGGGGGGAGGGAUGUAUUUAUUAGAUAAAAGACCAAUGGCUUCCAGCAAUGGGAGUCCUCUUUGGUGAUUCAUAAUAACUGUUCGAAUCGCAUGGCCUUGU